CGAUUAUCGGCAGUUUUAGAGCGAGGCAGAGAUCCCACCGGUAAAUAUGACAGAGCUCACAACAAUCUCUCCACACCCGCUUCUGUGUAGAGUGCAUAAUAAAAAGGGCAUCUACGUAUGAAUAUUUUUUAUACGGAAUGCAGGCCGUCAAGGCGUGGCGCGGCAGACAGAGUGGCGUCAAAAGUUGCCCGAGUCGUGGACUGGGAGGGAGUCGGAGGUCGGGCUGUGCCCCUACAUGUGAGUAUGUAUGCAUGUACAUAUGUAUGUGCCAGUGGCUGCCUUGGGGAGGCUGGCUGUUAUGAAAACAACGGCAGCCAAAAACCACUUGGCACGGGCCGCACCUCGUUGUUGAGCCCGACCGACCCAAUGCUAAAUUCUCGACUCGACAGUUUGAUAUGCGGUUUGGCAGAGCCAGCAAAAUAUCAGUUUUCCAUUGCAGAACAGGACCACUGGCAGCAGGAACACCAGCAAGGAGCUUUCCACUUGCUGAUUUAAUUCUCCAUGGCCGACUUUUGGCCAGGCCCUGGCUUUGGUUCGUGUUUGGGUGCUCGCCGAGGCGUGGGUGGUCCAGUGGCCAGAGGAAAAACUCGUCAAAUGUUUACAAGCAAAUAUGCCACAUCAUCAGAGACAAAGCGGCAGAGGGGGAGAGGAACUACCGUUGGAUGCAGUUGGGGUGUUGUGUGGUGUGCUCUUUAACUGCGCUUCUCUGGGAAUUUGUAGUUUCCCCUCUCUUGGACUCACUCACUCUCUCUCUGCAGUUGGAAUCUUGUUAAGCCAUGACCUGUGGGGGAGUGAGCAGGAUGCUUGGGUUUUGGGGGCCAGCUAAAGAGCGACAGAGAGAGAGAGCGAGACAAUAAGUUGGAAUUCGCUUUGAUCUUUUCGCACUUUUAAAUGUUUGAGAAAUCUUUGUAAAAGGCAUGAAUCGGAUUUCGGAGAACCAAUAAAAAAUUAAUGGCA
rnacentral:lncRNA from 1 species